rnacentral:lncRNA from 1 species
UGCCAAACACGGCGGUACGGCGGCACACCGCACGGCUUACUAGUAAUUUAAAGAAAUGUGAACGUACUAUGCAUUUGCAAACAUUAUAUAAACAUCUCCCACAACAAUACAAUGAUAAAACCCUAAUAGAAAUUGUUUAACAUCCAUGAAUGUGAAAAGAGUUCACCAGAUCGCAUCACAUUAAUACCUCAUAGCAGUCAACAGCUCGGCGGGAUAAAUGGUUCCUAAAAAAGUCACAUAAUAGUUCAAAAAUCAAACCUAAAUCAACACGUACACUAGUAGGCUGCAACUCAAACUCCACAACCGCAGCUGCCUGAGACUUCUUGAGAUGCGUGACAUCUUGCAUAUGCUGCUGCUCAGGCUAUCUCCCACCAAUAGUCAGCCCUUGAAAUAAAAAAUAGCUAUCAGCAAGCAUAUUUUUCUAUAACAGACUGAAUUUUCCCAAAUAUGGAAAAUUUAUUUGCAUUAAUAAUAAUCAUGCACUGACAACCUGCUCCUAGAUGUAUUUGAGCACUGAGUAUUUCUUCCUAUUCUGACAGGCUCUACCAUUUGGCAGGAGAACAUUAUCGCGGAAUGAAGGCAUGGACGUAUAUGUAACGGUGACGGUGUUCCUUGGAGUUCAGAGUGCAAAAGAGCAUCGCAAGGGGAGCAUGUUGCCUUGAUGAGCAGUUGUGCUAGAUUUCCAGAGUGUAGGUGGCUUGCAUAGGUGUACGGGUUAUUGCAAGCCUUGCUGUAUACAGGAUGCUAUACGGGAUACAUGCUGAACGCUUUGAUAUGGUUCCCCAAUUUAAGUCGGUUGCACUAGCGUGGGGGAGAAAAUGGAUAUUCAUAGACUUUUUAUUUCC